rnacentral:pre_miRNA from 1 species
CAACUACUCCCUCUAUCCCAAAUUUCUUGUCUUAGAUUUGUCUAGAUACGGAUGUAUCUAAUACUAAAAUGUGACUUGAUACAUCCGUAUCUAGACAAAUCUAAGACAAGAAUUUUGGGACGGAGGAAGUACUUU